GGGGAGUCCUGUUGGCUGGGCGUGCCGGACGGAGGGGUUGAGGUCUGGGGCGAGCCCUCGGGAGGGUCGCCCACCUUCCACGUGCGGACCACCUGGCCUUCCUGAAGACGAAAGUCGUGCUCUACGCUACAUUGGAAGAGAAAAAUCCUCAGCAUCGCAUCGAGCCACCAAUCAAAUCCCGGGAGGAUUGGAGGAAAUUGACAAUGAAGAUGAGGAACAAAAGCCUCGAUGACAGCGAGAAGGAGGAGGCAACUGAGCAGGGAUCGGCCUCGUCAUACAUAAAUCAUCCCGCGGGGAUUCAUCAUCCAGUCAUCGCAGCCGCCUCUGUGUGUUAGCGGACGGAGGAGGCCACGCGCAGUUGUCGGAGGAUCAAUGUCUCGUCGGACACGGACAGACGGCUUGCACCAGGCGCGAAGCUGCCCAGUGGGAAUCGCUCGUCAGCCGGCGUUUCUUGUCGUCCUCCUCCCGGAAGCCCCCCUGUUC